CUCCGUUCCUCCUCUGAGCUUGAAUCAUUUUCACUGUCUUUCAAGUCCUGAUAAAUGCAUUUUUAGUAUAAUUUUACCAUCACAUUUUAAAAUAAAAGACAUUCUGAGAAGAAAAAUCAAGAAAGAAUUAUAUUUACUUGCUGUUUUUUUUUCUUCACUAAGGAAUAUCAUGAUAUAUAUUAUUGAGAAUCCUAAAGUUUAAGUGGAAGAAACCUUUUCUUCUGGAGGAGCUAGGGAUUGAACUCAGAGUCUCAUGCAUGCUUGGCAAGCAGUCUAUCACUGAGCUACAUUCCCAGCCCUAGAGGAAGAAAAUUUCUAAGCAGCAUUCAAACUACUCUGUAUGUGCAGAUAAAUAUCAAGAUUAGCAUAAUGGACCACCUUUCAAAGCAGCAGAGAGAAAAGUCAACAGUGGUCUGGUCAUGGUGAGGAAAGGAAGUUUUGUAGAAAUUCAAUGAAGAGGAGAGACAGGAAAACACUUUCAAAAAGCAACAAUGCACAGUUCUCGAAUUAUUGGUCUAGACACACUGAAGACUACUUUUCCCACCAAGCCAAGAGAGGAUGUUGCUUGCUUGCAUUUAGUUCAGCCAAAUUCUCUGUAAUUUGAGGAAAUGGUGUACAAGACGGAUACACAAUUCAUACGUAUGACACAUGAGAUAGGAGCAGAGUUGCCCUAAGCCAUCUUCUUGAAGCACAUCUUUCACAUAAUGCCUUCUGGUUGCAUGAACUCCACUCAAGAGGUUUAAUGGUGGAUGAUGCCAGGUUAUAUUGUUAUAUAUGAUACACAGUAACUUCUGUAAAAAAUAAAAGGGAUCUAGCUUUCUGCCCAUGCAUCGCUUCAUACACUCAAUCUCAUAAAUGCUGAGAGUAUCUCUGGAAAAAUAUAGAUGACCUAGGCUGCCCUGGGAGAGGGGAAUUUGAAAGACUUUUCACAGUAUAUUUCUGUGUACCUUAAAAAUUAUCAAGUGUGUAUUACCUUAAAUGAUUAUAAAAAGAAAUGCAAUAAAUUAAC